AACGAACGCUGGCGGCAUGCCUAACACAUGCAAGUCGAACGAGACCUUCGGGUCUUGUGGCGCACGGGUGCGUAACGCGUGGGAACCUGCCCUUAGGUUCGGAAUAACUCCCCGAAAGGGGUGCUAAUACCGGAUAAUGUCUUCGGACCAAAGAUUUAUCGCCUUUGGAUGGGCCCGCGUUGGAUUCGCUUGUUGGUAGGGUAAAAGCCUACCAAGGCGACGAUCCAUAGCUGGUCUGAGAGGAUGAUCAGCAACACUGGGACUGAGACACGGCCCAGACUCCUACGGGAGGCAGCAGUGGGGAAUAUUGGAAAAUGGGCGAAAGCCUGAUCCAGCAAUGCCGCGUGAGUGAUGAAGGCCUUAGGGUUGUAAAGCUCUUUUACCCGGGAUGAUAAUGACAGUACCGGGAGAAUAAGCUCCGGCUAACUCCGUG
rnacentral:rRNA from 1 species